GCUCCGGUCGUCUAGUCCGGUCAAGGAUCCGGGCCUUUCGAGCCCGUGACGCGGGUUCAAAUCCCGUCCGGAGCA
rnacentral:tRNA from 1 species